CCUGCACUAAGUGGAGAGCUGAAAUCUAACAUUUAGGGAGAAACAACUGAGUCUAAGUGCCAGCUGUUUCCACAUCUGAAAGCUAUUACAUGCUUCUGUAACCUAGCUGGAUCACAUACAUGUUUCACUGUGCAGAUAAAUGAAAUAGGUAAAUCUUAGCAUACCUUGAACUAUUCGAAAGUGCUGGUAAAUGGAAACCAACAAAUCUGACAGUCCUUAAGUUCUUACUUUCUUUGAAAAGAGAUGGCCCAACCAUAUAGUUCAUAUACAAGUCAAAUCUCAGAUCUUUCUGGGUAAAAUCCCUCCCUCUCCUUCUCCUUCCCUUUACUUGCAAUUCCACAUGCCCACACAAUACUGGAGAAAUUUGUCCGUGCAAGGAGCUGUGCCAGGAGGAAUCAGCCCCUGCAGCUAUGCAGAAACAGGCACCACAGCCCCACUGCUCCUGUGCUGGAAAGGGGUUCUGUAGAAGAUUCCUGCGAAUUAAAAAUUGUCAACUGAUCUGAUCUGGGCUUCUAAAAAUGUGGAAUGAAGUAUGCAUUUCACAACAUGAAAAGCAACCACACUGAAGACAGAACAGGAUAUUGGACCUGAUGAUCUUGAUUUUAAAUUGAUUCCUUAAAAACAAGACUUCCAAGGCAAUCAUUAUAAUAGCAAAGAGCAGAGGGUGCCAGGUGAAGAAAAUAAAUUUGAUAUAAAGGACUCGCAAAAAUGCCCAGCAACUCAAGAAAUCACAAGGCACUCCUGGCCCUGGAGGAAGUCAUAUAGGCACACACACAGCAGGGAUGUUCAGAGGUUGUCUGUGUGGAGAGCAGACAUACUUUUGACUGUCUCUCAACUGCAAAAGCACAGCUUCAACAGCAAGCAGCAAGGUUCCCAUAUUUUUUUUUUUCCAGCAGCCUACAAUUUGCCCCACCAUCCUUUGCUCAAUGUAAUCCCUACUGUGUUAAAGCUAGUACGGACCUUAAUGUUUCUUGUGCCACAGCUGUCAUUUUCUGGGAAAGAAAAAAAAAA
rnacentral:lncRNA from 1 species